rnacentral:rRNA from 1 species
UACGUAGGGCGCAAGCGUUGUCCGGAAUUAUUGGGCGUAAAGGGCGCGUAGGUGGCCUCGUAAGUCGACUGUGAAAUCCCAGGGCUUAACCCUGGAAGUGCAGCCGAUACUGCUUGGCUUGAGUCCCGGAGAGGGUGGUGGAAUUCCCAGUGUAGAGGUGAAACUCGUAGAUAUUGGGAGGAACACCGGUGGCGAAGGCGACCACCUGGACGGAGACUGACACUGAGGCGCGAAAGCGUGGGUAGCAAACAGG